rfam:Phaeocystis globosa virus strain 16T, complete genome.
GCCUCCAUAGCUCAGUUGGUCAGAGCGUGCGGCUGUUAACCGCGAGGUCACCGGUUCGAAACCGGUUGGAGGCG